rnacentral:rRNA from 1 species
UAGGGAAUAUUAGAAAUGGACGAAAGUCUGAUCUAGCGACACCGCGUGUGCGAAGAAGGCCUUCGGGUUGUAAAGCACUUUUUGGAAGGAAUAGGAAGGAAGGUACUUCCAGAAUAAGUCUCGGCUAACUACGUGCCAGCAGCCGCGGUAACACGUAGGAGGCGAACGUUAUCCGGAUUUACUGGGCGUAAAGCGCGUGUAGGUGGUUUUGUAAGUAGGGCGUGAAAGAUCCUGGCUCAACUAGGAGAGGCCGU